rnacentral:rRNA from 3 species
ACGACGUUGAUAGGUUGGGUGUGUAAGCGCUGUGAGGCGUUGAGCUAACCAAUACUAAUUGCCCGUGAGGCUUGACCAU